rnacentral:rRNA from 1 species
GGCUUUUUGUUUAAAUUUUAAAGUCUGGCCUGCUCGCUGAUAAUUUAAAGGGCCGCGGUAUUUUGACCGUGCUAAGGUAGCAUAAUCAUUAGUUUCUUAAUUAGAAGCUGGAAUGAAUGGUCGGAUGAGAAAAAAACUGUUUCUAAUUAAUUUAUAAUGAAUUUUAUUUUUAAGUAAAAAAGCUUAAAUUUUAUUAAAAGACGAGAAGACCCUAUAGAGUUUGAUAUAAUUAUUAAUUAAAAUUUUUAUAAUUAUUAUUUUUUGAUUAAUAAUUUAUAUUUAGUUGGGGUGAUUGAAAAAUUAAAAAAACUUUUUUUUUAAUUAAUACAUUGAUUUAUGAAUUUUUGAUCCAUUAUUAAUGAUUAUAAGAUUAAAUUACCUUAGGGAUAACAGCGUAAUUUUAUUGGAGAGUUCUUAUCGAUAGUAAAGUUUGCGACCUCGAUGUUGGAUUAAAGUUAAUUUUUGGAGCAAAAGCUAAAAAUAUUAGGUCUGUUCGACCUUUAAAACUUUACAUGA